GUGGAUCGUUGGCUUUAAAGAGUGGAUUUUCUUCUGAAACCAUCGAAUAAAUAAGACAGGCAGAAGAACUAAGUGGCAGGGAGGAUGGGCUCCUUCCUGCGUUACCAGAGGUUGCUCAGCUUUGGAGCUGUUUCCCACCCACCUUUUGUUCGGUGCCCACCUUGGCUUCCAGAGCAGGGUCCCUCCCCCCGGUGACUGCAGGGGUUUUGUGAACUUCAAAAGCAGCCUGAAAUGUCAGCCACACGCAGCCCUUCUGCAGCCACUAAAUUAUGGAUCAGAAUACAGCACAUCAAACAGUCCAG
rnacentral:lncRNA from 1 species